CAGUGCGUGGCAGCCGGACUGCCGGCCCCGUCGCGAAGUUUCCAGCCUGCUCUCGCCGCCGGGCUGGGCAGACGUCCCAAGGCCACGGCCAUGCGGCCCCUGCUGCUCCUGGCCCCGCUGGGCUGGCUGCUCCUGGCCGAAGCGAAGGGCGACGCCAAGCCGGAGGAAAACCUUUUAGUUCUCACGGUGGCCACGAAAGAGACCGAGGGGUUCCGACGCUUCAAGCGCUCAGCCCAGUUCUUCAACUACAAGAUCCAGGCAUUGGGCCUGGGGGAGGAUUGGAAUGGGAAGAAGGAGACGUCUGCAGGUGGAGGGCUGAAGGUCCGGCUGCUGAAGAAAGCUCUGGAGAAGCAUGCAGACAAGGAGAACCUGGUCAUUCUAUUCACAGACAGCUACGAUGUGUUGUUUGCAUCGGGGCCCCGAGAGCUCCUGAAAAAGUUCCGGCAGUCCAGGAGCCGGGUGAUCUUCUCGGCAGAGGAGCUCAUCUACCCCGACCGCAGGCUGGAGGCCAAGUACCCCGCGGUGUCCAACGGCAAGAGGUUCCUGGGCUCCGGUGGCUUCAUCGGUUAUGCCCCCAACCUCCACAAACUGGUGGCUGAGUGGGAGGGCCAGGACAGCGACAGUGACCAGCUAUUUUAUACCAAGAUUUUCUUGGACCCAGAGAAGAGGGAGCAGAUCAAUGUUACCCUGGACCACCGCUGCCGUAUCUUCCAGAACCUGGAUGGAGCACUGGAUGAGGUCGUGCUCAAGUUUGAAAUGGGCCACGUGAGAGCAAGGAACCUAGCCUACGACACCCUCCCAGUCCUCAUUCAUGGCAACGGGCCCACUAAGCUGCAGCUGAACUACCUGGGCAACUACAUCCCGCGGUUCUGGACCUUUGAGACUGGCUGCGCCGUGUGUGACGAGGGCCUGCGCAGCCUGAAGGGCAUCGGGGAUGAAGCUCUGCCCACAGUCCUGGUCGGUGUGUUCCUAGAGCAGCCCACGCCUUUCCUGACCCUGUUCUUCCAGCGGCUUCUGCGCCUCCACUACCCCCAGAAACGGAUGCGACUUUUCAUUCACAACCACGAGCAACAUCAUAAGGCCCAGGUGGAGCGGUUCCUGGCAGAGCAUGGUGGCAAGUAUCAGUCCGUGAAGCUGGUGGGCCCCGAGGUGCGGAUGUCGAACGCUGACGCCAGGAACAUGGGCGCGGACUUGUGCCGGCAGGACCGUGGCUGCACCUACUACUUCAGCGUGGAUGCUGAUGUGGCCUUGACGGAGCCCCAAACCCUUCGAGUGCUGAUAGAGCAGAAUAAGAACGUCAUCGCCCCGUUGAUGACCCGCCAUGGGAGGCUGUGGUCAAACUUCUGGGGGGCACUGAGUGCUGAUGGCUACUACGCACGCUCGGAGGACUACGUGGACAUAGUGCAGGGGCGGCGUGUUGGGGUCUGGAAUGUGCCCUACAUCUCGAACAUCUACCUGAUCAAGGGCAGUGCCCUGCGGGCUGAGCUGCAGCAGACAGACCUGUUCCACCACCGAAAGCUGGACCCUGACAUGGCCUUCUGUGCCAAUAUCCGGCUGCAGGACGUGUUCAUGUUCCUGACCAACCGGAACGCCUUUGGCCACCUGCUCUCCCUGGACAGCUACCAGACCACCCACCUCCACAACGACCUCUGGGAGGUGUUCAGCAACCCGGAGGACUGGAAGGAGAAGUAUAUCCAUGAGAACUACACCAAGGCUCUGGCAGGGAAGCUGGUGGAGACGCCUUGCCCGGACGUCUACUGGUUCCCCAUCUUCACGGACACGGCCUGUGACGAGCUGGUGGAGGAGAUGGAGCACUACGGCCAGUGGUCUCUGGGGGAUAACAAGGACAGCCGCAUUCAGGGUGGCUAUGAAAACGUGCCAACCAUCGACAUCCACAUGAACCAGAUCAGCUUUGAGCGGGAGUGGCACAAGUUCCUGGUGGAGUAUAUCGCCCCCAUGACGGAGAAGCUCUACCCGGGCUACUAUACCAGGACACCUGCUUUGCCUGAGCCUGGGCUCUGCCCUCAAGGAAUCACCAGCCUAGGCCCAGUUCGACCUGGCCUUUGUCGUCCGCUACAAGCCUGACGAGCAGCCCUCGCUCAUGCCCCACCACGAUGCCUCCACCUUCACCAUCAACAUCGCCCUGAACCGGGUCGGGCUGGAUUAUGAGGGCGGGGGCUGUCGGUUCCUGCGCUACAACUGCUCCGUCCGAGCCCCACGGAAAGGCUGGACCCUCAUGCACCCUGGGCGACUCACGCACUACCACGAGGGGCUCCCUACCACCAAGGGCACCCGUUACAUCGCUGUCUCCUUCGUUGAUCCAUAAUUGGCCAGGCCUGCCCACCUCGGACCUUUUCUCUUUGCCAACAACCACUGCCCAGCAGCCUCUGGGGCCUCAGGGUCCCAGAGAACCCGGGCCAGCCUCCAGGCUUUGGACCUCCCAUUGCCCUUGGAGCCACCAACAGAGGGACUGGGCUGCAGGCCAGAGGCAGAGCGCACCUCCUUGGCUGGGGCUCUCCGGGUGCUCUGGCCCCGCCCUGGGAGGUGCUGAUCACUUUCCCGGUUUUGUAGCAACUCGUCCUUUCCCGCCUGUCUUCCUGAAGAACCCAGUCGCCCUUCCUCUGCUUCUUCCUUGGGACGGGACUUGGGCAGAAUGAGGGCUUACACCACUGCCCAGAGAGCCUCUGGGAGAGAAGCCGGGCUCCAGAGCGUCUCCAGGCAGGGCUGCUGCCCCGGGGACUUCUGCUUCAAGUUUCAGGGUGGACACAGAGACCUGAAUCAGACUCAAGUCUCUACCCUGCCCCCAGGACUGCUGAAGCCCCUUCCUCCAUGGCUCCUGUCAGGAGACCAAUAACAUUGUGCCCUGGAGAUGGUGACUCAGAAAACCUCCUGGGAGACAGGAAAAGCAUCAGUGCCUCAGAUCUAUCCUCUACUUGACCCUUGCUUGUGGGAAGGGGAGUGAUGUCCACACACUGCAGUGCAUCCCCCUGUCCUGAUUACCUGCGGAGAGAGGGACAGGCCGUCAGAGACAGGAGAGUUUCUAUUAAAGGUCUCAAACCAC